rnacentral:rRNA from 1 species
UACGUAGGGUGCGAGCGUUGUCCGGAAUUACUGGGCGUAAAGAGCUCGUAGGUGGUUUGUCGCGUUGUUCGUGAAAACCGGGGGCUUAACCCUCGGCGUGCGGGCGAUACGGGCAGACUUGAGUACUGCAGGGGAGACUGGAAUUCCUGGUGUAGCGGUGAAAUGCGCAGAUAUCAGGAAGAACACCGAUGGCGAAGGCAGCUCUCUGGGACGGUACUGACGCUGAGACGCGAAAGCGUGGGGAGCGAACAGG